rnacentral:tRNA from 1 species
GCCUGGCUGGCUCAGCCGGUUGAGCGUCCGGCUUCGGCUCAGGUCAUGAUCUCACGGUCUGUGAGUUCGAGCCCCAUGUCGGGCU